rnacentral:rRNA from 1 species
CGAUUACGGGAGGCAGCAGUGGGGGGUAUUGCACAAUGGGCGGAAGCCUGAUGCAGCGACGUCGCGUGAGGGAUGGAGGCCUUCGGGUUGUGAACCUCUGUUUCCGGUGGUGAAGGCCCUGUCCGUGUGGUGGGGUUGACGGUAGCCGGGGAUGAAGCGCCGGCUAACUACGUGCCAGCAGCCGCGGUAAUAUCG